CUUCAAGGACCCGAGCCACAGCGGCUGUUCACGGUCCUGGCCGUAGGCGGCGAGCAGGGCCUGCGCCUC
rfam:Streptomyces griseoruber strain DSM 40281 genomic scaffold PRJNA299232_s036, whole genome shotgun sequence.